ACUGCUAGAGAUCCGCUCGAUCUGGUCUGAAGGAAAGGAAGAGGUGCAGGCCGCCGUUGCUACUUGCGUUGUGAGCUUCUGCACCAGCCACCACCGCAGGUGUCGCUGCCAGAGAAGGGAGCUGCAUCUCUGUGAUUCCGACCGCCAGGAGUGGUUUUGUGACGUUAGGGACCACCGCCGGAGCUUCUGGCUACUGCUACCGUCGCCGGAAAAGGUUGCCGAUGUCGUGAUCGGAAUUUGUCGCCGCAGCCGCUUGAGGUGGCUGCCGGGCUGUUGCCGAGCCAGCCCGGAGAACGCCGCUGUUUCGGUUCAGCCGCUCUUUCUUAGUUUCGGAUAUGGGCGCAGAAGUUACGAAGAGUUUAUUUAGUUGUUGAGA